AUGGCCCGUGACGCCAGCGUCAUCACCAUAGUUACACAACAAUGCUGGAAAGAAGGCACUCCUCCCCAUCGAGGGGCGGAUUGCCAUGCCCACUAGCCCCAUCCCGCCCCCUCCAGCAGAACGAUUGUAAACAGCAGAUGGCAAUCCCAUCUGAUCAGAAUCCCUGGGAGGGGCCGAGCUACACGGCCCUCCCAGGUCAUGUCCACCCCAUAAAUAGAGCCAACAUAUGACCAGUUCUCCCAGCACCCUGCGAGCUGAAGGGAGUAACGCUGGUAUUACAAUACCCCAAUCACGGUGAGUGCCUGUUCUACCUUAUACUCAAACAAGCCUUUUUGUAACCAACCUAACCUCACUCUAGCAUGUACCUCUCCUUACCAUGCAUGCCUCAGUUUCUAUCUAUAUACGUCUGCUCCACAGGCAUUCGGCACCAGGUUCCUCUCUACAUAUAGAGCCCGGGAUUCCCCCUAGCAACUCUAAGAGGAUCGUCCGCAUUGGACUCAGUAAACCCCCUGACCUGCUGCACUUUUGCCCUAACAAGCCCUACAUUUGGGAUACCGUGUGUUUGGGAUCAAUCGGAGCCAUCCCUCCCCUUUCUCUUUUCUUACUUAUGAGACCCCAUAAGUCGGCCCUGGGGAUAUCCUAAACCGACAAGUUGAGGGUCAAUUUUCAAACCCUGGUUUACCACAAACGAGAGAGAAAAACAGCUUGUAAUCACACACUCCUGUGGCCCCUGAUGAAGGUCUGUUGCUCCAUCAAUAGACCAGAAACGCGUCGGGCAUUUCUCCACUACUCUCUACAGAGUGUUUUUUAAUCUAAUUGUAUUGUAUCUUC